rnacentral:rRNA from 1 species
UACGAAGGGUGCAAACGUUGCUCGGAAUCAUUGGGCGUAAAGCGCACGUAGGCGGCCCUGUAAGUCGGAUGUGAAAUCCCACAGCUUAACUGUGGACGUGCAUUCGAAACUGCGGGGCUCGAGUAUGGAAGAGGGUCGCAGAAUUCCCGGUGUAGAGGUGAAAUGCGUAGAUAUCUGGAGGAACACCGGUGGCGAAGGCGGCAUCCUGGACCGGCAUUGACGCUGAGGCGCGAAAGCCAGGGGAGCAAACGGG